CCUACGGGGGCGCAGUGGGGAAUAUUGGACAAUGGGCGAAAGCCUGAUCCAGCCAUGCCGCGUGAGUGAUGAAGGCCCUAGGGUUGUAAAGCUCUUUCGCCAGGGACGCGGUACCUGGAUAAGAAGCCCCGGCUAACUUCGUGCCAGCAGCCGCGGUAAUACGAAGGGGGCUAGCGUUGUUCGGAAUCACUGGGCGUAAAGCGCGUGUAGGCGGGCUGUUAAGUCGGGGGUGAAAUCCUGAGGCUCAACCUCAGAAUUGCCUUCGAUACUGGCAGUUUGGAGUCCGGGAGAGGUGAGUGGAACUCCUAGUGUAGAGGUGAAAUUCGUAGAUAUUAGGAAGAACACCAGUGGCGAAGGCGGCUCACUGGCCCGGACUGACGCUGUGACGCGAAAGCGUGGGGAGCAAACAGGAUUAGAUACCCUUGUAGUC
rnacentral:rRNA from 1 species